rnacentral:rRNA from 1 species
AGAUUGAACGCUGGCGGCAGGCCUAACACAUGCAAGUCGAGCGGCAGCACGGGUACUUGUACCUGGUGGCGAGCGGCGGACGGGUGAGUAAUGCCUAGGAAUCUGCCUGGUAGUGGGGGAUAACGCUCGGAAACGGACGCUAAUACCGCAUACGUCCUACGGGAGAAAGCAGGGGACCUUCGGGCCUUGCGCUAUCAGAUGAGCCUAGGUCGGAUUAGCUAGUUGGUGGGGUAAUGGCUCACCAAGGCGACGAUCCGUAACUGGUCUGAGAGGAUGAUCAGUCACACUUGGAACUGAGACACGGUCCAGACUCCGUACGGGAGCAGCAGUAGGGGAAUAGUUGGACAAGUGGGGACGAAAG